rnacentral:rRNA from 1 species
AUUGAACGCUGGCGGCAGGCCUAACACAUGCAAGUCGAGCGGCUGAAGGGAGCUUGCUCCUGGAUUCAGCGGCGGACGGGUGAGUAAUGCCUAGGAAUCUGCCUGGUAGUGGGGGAUAACGUCCGGAAACGGGCGCUAAUACCGCAUACGUCCUGAGGGCGAAAGUGGGGGAUCUUCGGACCUCACGCUCUCAGAUGAGCCUAGGUCGGAUUAGCUAGUUGGUGGGGUAAAGGCCUACCAAGGCGACGAUCCGUAACUGGUUUGAGAGGGUGAUCAGUCAACGCGGGAACUGAGAAACGGUCAAGAUUCCUAGGGGAGGCAGAAGGGGGGAAUAUGGGACAAGGGGCGAAGGCCUGAUCAAGCCAUGCGGGGGGGGUGAAGAAGGUCUGCGGAUGGUAAAGCACUUUAAGUGGGGAGGAAAGGCAGUAAGUUAAAACCUGGCUGUUUGAACGUAACCAACAGAAUAAGCACCGGCAAACUUCGU